UAUUUAUAUCCUGACCUAUCUAUAUAUAAAUGACCGGUCUCAUUUCGUCACCGCAUUACCUCCAAGCAUAUCUCGGUGUUAGUUGAUAGUGGCCUGCCCAUCAGGAGUAGCAAAAUGAAGGUUUUGGUGAUCCUGGCUUUAGUUGCGGUGGUAGCGGCGGGACCUGUAACGGAGCGCCCCAAGCGUAGCUUCGGCAGCUACGACUCUGGCCUGCUGCAGUCCAACGUGCUGCAGUCCAACAGCCUUCACCAGACGGACUACCGUUCCACAGACGUGCACUCCACCUCGCAGGUCUCCAACCUCUAUCAGCCGCAGCAGAUCGCGGUGCAACCCCUCGCCACCACGCAAUGGCAAUCUCCACAAGUGGUGCACCAGCCAGCCGUGUACAACCUUCCACAAACGUACAACUACGAACGGGAACCCGUGUACACGCAACACGUAGAGCCCGUGUACACUCAGAAUAUCCAACCCGUGUACAAUCACAACGUGCAGCCCUUGUACACACAGAACGUGCAGCCUUUGUACACACAGAACGUGCAGCCCUUGUACACACAGCAGGCGCAGUCCUUGUACACACAACAGGCUCAACCCUUCUAUACACAACAGGCCCAGCCCUUUUACACACAACAGGUUCAACCUUUGUACAGCCAACAGAUCCGUCCCGUGUACACUCAGCGCGUGGAACAAGCGAUUCCGCUCAACAACUGGCAAUACAACACCAACGCGUACCAAACAAGUGACCCGUGGUGCUAGAUUAACUUCAAUUUAGAUAUUGUUUGUAUGAAUGAGUCAUUCAUUAAGGGCUACAUUUCACGGGGACACCACUGUAGCGCAACCAGUCCCGGCUACCAUCAUAAUGUACACAGCUCUAUAUAAAAUUACGCACCUGGUGAAACUCCAUUGGUUGCGCAACCAAUUUGGUGGUGCAACCAGCUCGGACGCGUCAUGACUCUAGUGUCUAGUUUGGUAGCUAAAGGACACCACUGUGGUGUCUCGGCGCAACCAAUUUGUCGCGACCAGCUUGGACGCGUCAUGACACUGGUGUCUAGUUUGGUAGCUUACGGACACCACGGUGGCGCAACCAGUCACCGCAACCAUCAUUAUGUAUACAGCUCUAUAGAGAGUUACUCACCUAGUGUAAUUCCAUUGGUUGCGCAACCAAUUUGGUGGUGCAACCAGCUCGGACGCGUCAUGACUCUUGUGUCUAGUUUGGUAGCUAACGGACACCACUGUGGUGUCUCGGUGUAAUAUAGCCCUAAGAAUUUGUAACGUAAUAUUGUGUUAAUAACAUAAAGCUCAAUUCAAAUGUAA